ACCCAAAUAUGACAACGCAGACCAGGUGGGGAAAAUGAAAUCUAGUUCAGGCUGGUGGCCCAAGGUCCCCCUUGUUACACUGGCCAGCAGCAAGGUAACACUGGCCUUGGCUCACAAGGCACAUAAACCACACAAGAUGCUGCAGUCAACACCGCUGAGGGUUGGGGGCUCCAGCUAUCUGUAAUUGGGAAGUGAAGAGGAUGUGACUGCCAGGUAAUGCUAACCCCGAAUCCUUGGUGCCUGUGUUAUGCACCAUAUGCUGAAUUUCGGUUCCAGCUGUGUGCUAGGCUGGGUCUGAUCUGGCAAAGAGGAACUGGCUCCACAGCUCUGGGCAGAAUCCACUGCUGCUCCCACACAGGGAGGACCAGGGGAACCGCAGCCCCACUCUGAGUGGAAACCCUUGACACGUGUUACACACAAACAACACUUGGGGUGGAACAAGAGCUUUACAAUGAUCUGUCUGGGACCCAUAAUACAAUUCAGCAUCUCUUUAGAGCUUCAGUCUAUCAAACAUUUUCAGACUAUUUCACUUAACCUUAACAGUUAUUGAAAUGCUUGAGGGGGGGAAAAAACCUCCACAUUUGAGAUUUCCAUAGCAGAAGCAUCACCAGCAGCCUCAACAGCCAUUCAAAAAGAUAUUGUCUGCAGGCUUGUUACCUCUUAUUGUCCCUCCAUUGUAUUAUAGAACUCUUAUUCUUAGAGAGAUUGCCUGGAAAGAGGUAAAGUAUGCAUAGACAUGGUCAGCCCCAUUUGCAGCUGAGGAAAUGAGACUCAGAGUGGCAAAGUGACUUUUUCAGAAUCAUAGCAGUAAAUGGUAGCAUUAGGAAGCUAAGCCUGAUCAUCCUGUUCUUGUCCUGUUGAGGAGAUAGUGAGAGCAAAGGAAAGUGGCAACAAUGAAGGAAUAAAACCCAGCUCAUCCCCCUGUUCCUCAUGCCCAACCCUUGCCAAGACUUCAGGUAACAGAAGGAAGAGAACACAUGGAUGGGCACAUGCUGGGCCCGGAAGAGCUGUGCAUGUCCCACAGACCACGAGUGUGGAGCCCAUGGCCGUGUGAAGGGGGUGGGGUCCCAGUCCUAGAAGCAGGAUCAUGGAAGUGGCCUUGGAGGACCUGACGAGGA
rnacentral:lncRNA from 1 species